CCUACGGGAGGCAGCAGUGGGGAAUAUUGCGCAAUGGGCGAAAGCCUGACGCAGCGACGCCGCGUGAGGGAUGAAGGUCUUCGGAUCGUAAACCUCUGUCAGCAGGGAAGAACGGUCACUGUGCUAAUCAGCAGUGAAUUGACGGUACCUGCAAAGGAAGCACCGGCUAAUUCCGUGCCAGCAGCCGCGGUAAUACGGAGGGUGCGGGCUUUAAUCGGAAUUACUGGGCGUAAAGCGCUCGUAGGCGGUAUGUCAAGUCAAGGGUGAAAUCCCCGCGCUCAACGUGGGAACUGCCUUUGAAACUGGCAAACUGGAGUGUGGGAGAGGAUAGUGGAAGUCCAGGUGUAGGAGUGAAAGCCGUAGAUAUCUGGAGGAACAUCAGGGGCGAAGGCGACUAUCUGGCACAUAACUGACGCUGAGGAGCGAAAGCGUGGGUAGCAAACAGGAUUAGAUACCCCGGUAGUC
rnacentral:rRNA from 1 species